UACGUAGGGGGCAAGCGUUGUCCGGAAUUAUUGGGCGUAAAGAGCGCGUAGGCGGUCCGGUAAGUCGGUUGUGAAAGUCGGGGGCUCAACCCUCGGAUGCCGAUCGAUACUGUCGGGCUAGAGUCCGGAAGAGGCGAGUGGAAUUCCUGGUGUAGCGGUGGAAUGCGCAGAUAUCAGGAGGAACACCGGUGGCGAAGGCGGGUCUCUGGGCCGAUACUGACGCUGAGGAGCGAAAGCGUGGGGAGCGAACAGG
rnacentral:rRNA from 1 species